rnacentral:misc_RNA from 1 species
AAGAAACCUCGCAACAAUCCUCCAGAAUCCCAAAAACCCGAUUAUCAUUGGCAGGAAAGACGCAACAAUCAAUGCUCCUUGAAGAGCCUUCAUUGAUUCUCUAAACCUCUGAUGAGGAUCAAUGUAGAAAUUAAAUCUUCGUGACAAAGCUACCGAGAUAGCCGGAAUGAUGAAGGUAUACGAUCCACCAAUCACCACAGGCAAACGGGUUCCAAACCAAGUUUGUAAUAAAG